AACGAACGCUGGCGGCAGGCCUAACACAUGCAAGUCGAACGAGAAAGCACCUUCGGGUGUGAUUAAAGUGGCAAACGGGUGCGUAACACGUGGGAACCUACCUUACAGUGCGGGACAACCAUUGGAAACGAUGGCUAAUACCGCAUACGCUCUACGGAGGAAAGAUUUAUCGCUAUAAGAUGGGCCCGCGGUUGAUUAGUUUGUUGGUGAGGUAAUGGCUCACCAAGACUACGAUCAAUAGCUGGUCUGAGAGGACGAUCAGCCACACUGGGACUGAGACACGGCCCAG
rnacentral:rRNA from 1 species